AACGCACAUUGCGCCCAUUAGUAUUCUAGUGGGCAUGCCUGUUCGAGCGUCAUUUCAACCCUUAAGCCCUGUUGCUUAGUGUUGGGAGGUUAUCGUAACUGAUAACUCCCUAAAUCCAGUGGCGGAGUCUCAGCAUACUCUAGGCGUAGUAAUUCUUCUCGCCUCUGUAGUCGCUGUAGCUGUAGCCAUAACCCACCUAUUUUUUUAGUGGUUGACCUCGGAUCAGGUAGGAAUACCCGCUGAACUUAA
rnacentral:misc_RNA from 1 species